AAAACCCCGCAAGGGGUUAGUAGAGUGGCAAACGGGUGAGUAACGCGUGGGUGACCUGCCUUCGAGCGGGGGAUAACGUUCCGAAAGGGACGCUAAUACCGCAUAACAUCCUGCCUUUGAAGAGGUGGAGAUCAAAGCUAGGGAUCGCAAGACCUGGCACUUGAAGAGGGGCCCGCGUCUGAUUAGCUAGUUGGUGAGGUAACGGCUCACCAAGGCUUCGAUCAGUAUCCGGCCUGAGAGGGCGGACGGACACACUGGGACUGAGACACGGCCCAGACUCCUACGGGAGGCAGCAGUGGGGAAUUGUUCGCAAUGGGCGCAAGCCUGACGACGCAACGCCGCGUGGAGGAUGAAGAUUUUCGGAUCGUAAACUCCUGUCGAAUGGGACGAAAAGAUUGCGGGUUAACAGCCCGUAGUCCUGACGGUACCGUUAAAGGAAACCCCGGCUAACUCCGUGCCAGCAGCCGCGGUAAUACGGGGGGGGUAAGCGUUGUUCGGAAUUACUGGGCGUAAAGGGCUCGUAGGCGGCCAACUAAGUCAGACGUGAAAUCCCUCAGCUUAACUGGGGAACUGCGUCUGAUACUGGAUGGCUUGGAUUCGGGAGAGGAAUGCGGAAUUCCAGGUGUAGCGGUGAAAUGCGUAGAUAUCUGGAGGAACACCGGUGGCGAAGGCGGCAUUCUGGACCGACAUUGACGCUGAGGAGCGAAAGCCAGGGGAGCAAACGGGAUUAGAUACCCCGGUAGUCCUGGCCCUAAACGAUGAAUGCUUGGUGUGGCGGGUAUCGAUCCCUGCCGUGCCGAAGCUAACGCAUUAAGCAUUCCGCCUGGGGAGUACGGUCGCAAGGCUG
rnacentral:rRNA from 1 species